rnacentral:rRNA from 1 species
GAGCGUUCUAAGGGCGUUGAAGCAUGAUCGUAAGGACAUGUGGAGCGCUUAGAAGUGAGAAUGCCGGUGUGAGUAGCGAAAGACGGGUGAGAAUCCCGUCCACCGAUUGACUAAGGUUUCCAGAGGAAGGCUCGUCCGCUCUGGGUUAGUCGGGUCCUAAGCUGAGGCCGACAGGCGUAGGCGAUGGAUAACAGGUUGAUAUUCCUGUACCACCUAUAAUCGUUUUAAUCGAUGGGGGGACGCAGUAGGAUAGGCGAAGCGUGCGAUUGGAUUGCACGUCUAAGCAGUAAGGCUGAGUAUUAGGCAAAUCCGGUACUCAUUAAGGCUGAGCUGUGAUGGGGAGAAGACAUUGUGUCUUCGAGUCGUUGAUUUCACACUGCCGAGAAAAGCCUCUAGAUAGAAAAUAGGUGCCCGUACCGCAAACCGACACAGGUAGUCAAGAUGAGAAUUCUAAGGUGAGCGAGCGAACUCUC